GACGAACGCUGGCGGCGUGCUUAACACAUGCAAGUCGAACGAAGAGCGAUGGAAGCUUGCUUCUAUCAAUCUUAGUGGCGAACGGGUGAGUAACGCGUAAUCAACCUGCCCUUCAGAGGGGGACAACAGUUGGAAACGACUGCUAAUACCGCAUACGAUCUAACCUCGGCAUCGAGGAUAGAUGAAAGGUGGCCUCUACAUGUAAGCUAUCACUGAAGGCGGGGAUUGCGUCUGAUUAGCUAGUUGGAGGGGUAACGGCCCACCAAAGCGAUGAUCAGUAGCCGGUCUGAGAGGAUGAACGGCCACAUUGGGACUGGGACACGGCCCAGACUCCUACGGGGGGCAGCAGUGGGGAAUCUUCCGCAAUGGACGAAAGGCUGACGGGGCAACGCCGCGUGAGUGAUGAAGGCCUUCGGGUUGUAAAGCUCUGUUAAUCGGGAAGAAAGGCCUUCUUGCGAAUAGUGAGAAGGAUUGACGGUACCGGAAGAGAAAGCCACGGCUAACUACGUG
rnacentral:rRNA from 1 species